rnacentral:rRNA from 1 species
CCUACGGGUGGCAGCAGUGAGGAAUAUUGGUCAAUGGACGCAAGACUGAACCAGCCAAGCCGCGUGCGGGAGGACGGUACAGAGAAUCGUAAACUUCUUUUGUCAGAGGACAAAUACCGAUACGUGUAUCCGGAUGAAAGUAUCUGACGAAUAAGCAUCGGCUAACUCCGUGCCAGCAGCCGCGGUAAUACGGAGGAUUCAAGCGUUAUCCGGAUUUAUUGGGUUUAAAGGGUUCGUAGGCGGUCUGUUAAGUUAGCGGUGAAAUCCCGGGGCGUAACCCCGGCCCUGCCUCUGAGACUGGCGGGCUAGAGUUGAGGAGAGGUAUGCGGAAU